CCAAAAUCCGAUCCCAUUCCAUUUAUUCACACUUACUUCAAUGGCUCAUUAACUGCUUCCAUUUGAAUUAAGUAUCAACAAAAAUCCACCAGACCAGAAUUCAUAAGUUGUUUACAAUUAAAAUUUCAACAGAACUUCAACUCAAAUCAACCAAUAUUCAUCGAUCAACACAGCAUAUCAAGAGUAUUAUGUUCAGCCAUGACAAUUCGAUCAACUAACUAAAUCAGCAUAAGUAAAUCCAGAAAUAAGCAUCACAUAAGAAAAAUUAAAGUAGGGUAAGAGAUGGACCUCG
rnacentral:lncRNA from 1 species